GGAAACCGCUAGUUGGUGGAACAGUUAGAAUAUACACAAGAUUUAUCAAUUAAGUUCACUGUCUUAUACGGGCAUGGUUUGCAGUACCCUAAAACAAUUACAGUAGUAACAAAGAUCACUGAUCACAGACCACCAUGACAGAUACAAGAAUAAAAACAUUUGAAAUACUCUAAGAGUUACCAAAAUGUGACACUUACACAAAGUGAGCCCAUGCUGGGAAAAUGCCCCGAUAGACUUGCUCUAUGCAGGGUGGCCACAAGCCCUCAAUUUGUAGAAAAGGCAGUAUCUUUGAAGCACAAUGAAGCAGAAUGCAAUAAAAUGAGGUAUACUUGUAUUCUAAUUUUCUGCCAUGAAAAACUGUCUAGAGGGCAGUCUCCAACCCUAGGGACUAGAUUGCUUUUGUUUUCAUGCAUGCCCUAAGGUCACAGAGAUGGGGGAUAACAGUAUGAUGGGAGAUUCUGGUAGGGACUCAAACCUGAUGGUGUUCAGUAGUUGCAGGUAGACUGCUGCUAAAAGUUGGACUUUCAAUUUAGAAUAAAAUAAUGG
rnacentral:lncRNA from 10 species